rnacentral:rRNA from 1 species
UUGACCUCGGAUCAGGUAGGGAUACCCGCUGAACUUAAGCAUAUCAAUAAGCGGAGGAAAAGAAACCAACAGGGAUUGCCUCAGUAACGGCGAGUGAAGCGGCAACAGCUCAAAUUUGAAAUCUGGCUCCUUCGGGGUCCGAAUUGUAAUUUGUAGAGAGUGCUUCGGGCGAGACCUCGGUCUAAGUCCAUUGGAACAUGGUGUCAUAGAGGGUGAGAAUCCCGUAUGCGACCGUGGCUCGAGCCCAUGUGAAGCCUCUUCGACGAGUCGAGUUGUUUGGGAAUGCAGCUCAAAAUGGGUGGUAAAUUUCAUCUAAAGCUAAAUACUGGCUGGAGACCGAUAGCGCACAAGUAGAGUGAUCGAAAGAUGAAAAGCACUUUGGAAAGAGAGUCAAACAGUACGUGAAAUUGUUGAAAGGGAAGCGCUUGCAACCAGACCUGCCCGUAGGCGAUCCGCCGCUGUUCUCAGCGGUGUACUCGCUCUGCGAUCAGGCCAGCAUCGGUUUCGGCGGUCGGAUAAAGGCCUUGGGAAUGUAGCUUCCCCUCGGGGGAGUCUUAUAGCCCUCGGUGUAAUGCGGCCAGCUGGGACCGAGGACCGCGCUUCGGCUAGGAUGCUGGCGUAAUGGUUGUAAGCGACCCGUCUUGAAACACGGACCAAGGAGUCUAACAUCUAUGCGAGUGUUUGGGUGUCAAACCCAUACGCGAAAUGAAAGUGAACGGAGGUGAGAACCCUUAAGGGCGCAUCAUCGACCGAUCCAGAUGUCUUCGGAUGGAUUUGAGUAUGAGCAUAGCUGUUGGGACCCGAAAGAUGGUGAACUAUGCCUGAAUAGGGUGAAGCCAGAGGAAACUCUGGUGGAGGCUCGCAGCGGUUCUGAACGUGCAAAUCGAUCGUCAAAUUUGG